GAGAAGAACAGAUUUUAACUUUACUUACGUUUCGAAUACUACAAUAAUAUCUGCUAAUGAGUAAUCUAUCUCGAAAGGGAUAAGAUUGUUAAAUAUGUUAAGAUACAAGGUGGAAGGCAGAUUUUGAUCUCAGUUAUGUGAAAUAUAUAAUGAAAUAACUCGCUAACAGGAUUCCUAAAAAUAGAAGAAUAAAUUACCUUUGUAUAAAUAAACAAAAUUAAAGCAUAAAUAUUACUUAAGAUAAGACGUUACAUCAUAUUUCAGAUCAAUCAACUAUUAUUUUUAGAUAUAUAGAUACAGAUAAGUUUUUAUUGCACGCGUUUUAUUUUUUACGAUACAUAUUUAUUUGUCUCAAAACUCAUAUCUUGUUUUUUCAAUGUCUUCACUGAGACGUCCAUGUGCAGUCUUAUUUUGUAACUUGUUAAGAAGCGAAAAACAAAUUUUAACUUCUGUUAUGUUGUAGUCACCGGAACCAUUUCUUAUUGAUAACACUUCUAAAAGUUGGAAAUAACAUUGCCUUCGGAUAAAUGAAAGACAUUUAAAAAGUAUGAAAUUGAAAUAUCAUAUCUAAGACAUAUUUCACACGCAAACUACAGCUAUUUGUAAAGAUUGUUGGCAUACCAACGUGCAAGAAAUUGCGAACGGCAAAAGUACAGGAGGCGCGAUGGUGGCGUGAGUUUGUGGACAGGAUCCAGCAGGAGCGAUAUCUCGAAGAGUGGGACGAGGACGUGUGGGAUGGUACCGUGGAGCGGUACCUGCAAAGAAGGUGGGACACCAAGGGCCAGGCAGUUAGCGGCAGACGGUCAAAAACUUGCCGAACCGGCUGCCACCAUGAGAGAAAAAGAGAGAGAAAUAGUGGCUGCCCGAGGGAACUGCUGACAAUACGAUUUAUUACGGAGGACCACCUGCUCGCGGAAAUCUCAAUCGGACCGCUUUUGCUGCUAUAACAUCGAGGGCAAAUAGCAAAUGGCGCUACCGGACUCUAUUCUUUCUUUCUUCCCACGGAUCUUCAUUAAAUCGUCGAUUCGUGGUUGGACCCUUAAUCUUUGAGAAUAUUCUCAGGAUAUCAUUCUUUUCUUUCAAAUUUUACAUUGUGAGAAACACUUUAAGAAUAUUUUAACUUCGAUAAAAGGAAUAUAAAUUACGAAAAAGAGAAAUAAAAAUGUAACAACUGUCUAUAUUUCAUCGCUUACGAUUGAAGAUUAAUAAUAAAGAAAUUAAAAAAUUAAACUAUUCACAACGGAAUAACAUUACAUCAUUUAGAUCAAAGAUUGGUCUUUUAGUUUUUGAGAAUCCUUUCUGGAGAGAAAAAUGUUUUUCGUUUGAAAUUUUACACUAUGACAGACACU